CCACACCGGCAGUCCACGUUUGAACGAGUUCCAUCAGGCAGCUUUCACCGACUUUGACACGCUGGAAUCACCGAUGCUGCAGCUAAGCCCAGACCAUUCACCGAUCAUGACACAGCUGAUGGAGGCGACCAGUCCCGGCACAGCCUCCAGCCAGGGAAGCAAUGGAUCUUCAAUUUCACGCCUGAUGCGUUUCAGCCCCGCCCUGCACCAUCACGCCGGCACCAUCGCACCCGCCUUCCCCACCGAGAUGUCCGAUAUUGCUGACACUGGUUCGCCCACACUGCCGACACGACACAAUUUGUUCGCCACCUCAAAUGGGCCACUAGCGUCCACCACAUCCGGAUCUCUAGCAAGCGCAACGUCUACCAGCUCGAUGACCACAUCGCAGGAGUUGUUAAACAGCAGCAGGAGCAGCAGCAAAAGCUCCAAGCUGUCGUCGUCCACGUCUUCCUCCAGCACCACUACGAAGCAUGUGGAGAAGAGUUCCUCCUCCACGCAGCGCAUGUCAUCCCUAACGUCCUCCUCCAGCAGCACAACAUCCACCGCAGCGGUCAAGCAGAACCUCGGUGAGAUGCAGAACUCGAUGGCGGAAAUGAAGAACAUGAUGGGGCACAGUAGUAGCAGUAGCACCUCCCAGAACCUGUCCACAUCCUCGUCCUCGUCCAUCAAAUCGUCCGCCGUCACGAACCAUCUGCAGGCCCGCAAGAUGUCGGCCAAACUGAAUGACAUUAAGACGAGGUUACGCUCGUCGAUGGACAGUCUCGAUGAUCCGCAGGCGGAUCCGCUGGUAACCUUUCCCGAUUCGGAAACCGACGACGAUCUGUCCAGCAUCGCAUCGAGCCUGAAGCCGCUCGGUGCGAACGGUGGUAGCGGAAUUCUCGUACCGAACGGUCACCAUCACCAUCAUCACCAGGCGCUCGUGAACGGGUGUGCCGGCGCGGUCGAUACGGUCAAGUUCGAGCAGAAGAAAAUGACCUCCGAGUCGAAGACGAAGGUGACGACGGACGGGUUCAGCAGCGAGCAAGCCACUAUUAAUUCGGCCGAGUCGAAGAAAAUGCAGGCAGGCGACCUACAGUAUCAGGAGCAGGCCGCACUCGCCGCCAUGAGCAGCCGGAUGGAGGUGAACGGUGUGACGGCCGAAGAGAAGGGUGCCAUACUGAAGGAAGCGCGAUCGGUGAAAAUGGGUGACUUCCAGCAGGCCGAGGCAAACAACAUUGCAGCUCACAGUCGCAAAGUACAGAGUGACCACUUCAGUGCGGAAAAUAAGGCAAUCUCGCAGGCCCAGCAAAAGCAAACGGUUUCAUCGAGCGGUAUCUUUAACCAGGAAAAGCACGUCUCCUCGACGACGCAGUCGACGUUCACCAUGUCGAACACCAGCACGAUCAGCUCGUCGUCGCAGAUGAGCACACUGUCCUCGUCGUCCGGCAUGAACGGGUUGCUCGGUGCUGAGUUUCCCUCGUUCGAGGAUUUCGAACGGUUGACCAACACACCGGAGGAGGUCGACAACACGAUCAUGAAGUACUCGAAGCAUUUGGCAGGCUACGUGCAGAACCUGCAGCAGACGGAGCAGCUGAAGAAGGCGCCGACACUGUUGAACCACAUGAACGAAAUCAUACGGCGGGCGUGGGCCGUCCCGACGCACGGUCACGAGCUGGGUGCGAGCCUGUGCGACACGCUGCGCAAUACCGGCGGGCUCGACAUACUGAUGCGGAACUGCGUGGAUAACGAUUCGGAGGUACAGUUCUCCUCGGCACGCCUCCUGGAGCAGUGCCUUACGACGGAGAACCGCACGCAUGUGGUGAAGAACGGGCUGGACAAGGUGGUGAAUGUGGCGUGCGUGUGCACCCGCAACAAUGCUACCGAUCAUUCGCGCGUCGGUACUGGCAUCCUGGAGCAUCUGUUCAAGCACAGUGAGGACACCUGCUCGAACGUGAUCCGGCUCGGUGGUCUGGACGCGGUACUGUUCGAGUGCAGAAAGAACGACAUCGAAACGCUGCGACACUGUGCGGGAGCGCUAGCGAACCUGUCGCUGUACGGUGGGUCGGAAAACCAGGAGGCUAUGAUUAACCGCAAGGUACCGUCCUGGUUGUUCCCGCUCGCCUUCCAUAACGACGAAAACAUUAAGUACUACGCGUGCCUGGCGAUCGUGGUGCUGGUCGCGAACAAGGAGAUCGAAGCGGAGGUGAUCAAAUCCGGCACACUGAACCUGGUGGAACCGUUCGUAACGACGCACAACCCAUCGGAGUUUGCAAAAUCUAAUCUCGCGCACGCGCACGGUCAAAGCAAACACUGGCUGCAGCGGCUCGUUCCGGUGCUGAGCUCCAAGCGCGAAGAGGCACGCAAUCUGGCCGCGUUCCACUUCUGCAUGGAGGCGGGCAUCAAGAAGGAGCAGGGCAAUACAAACAUUUUCAAAGAGAUUGGCGCGAUAGAGCCACUCAUAAGGGUGGCAAGCUCACCGAACGCGAUCGCAUCCAAGUUUGCCGCCCAAGCGUUAAGGCUUAUUGGUGAGGAGGUCCCGCACAAGCUGUCCCAACAGGUGCCGCUCUGGUCGACGGAGGAUGUACGCGAAUGGGUGAAGCAGAUUGGGUUCGGGGAGUACGAGCAAAGCUUUUACGACUCGAAGGUGGACGGGGAUCUGCUGCUGCAGAUGCAGGACUGCAAUCUCUGCAACGACAUCGGCAUGAAGAAUGGCAUCCUGCGGAUACGGUUUCUCCGGGAGCUACAGAACCUCAAGAAGAUGGCCGACUAUAGUUCGCGUGAUCCGGACGGUCUGCAUGCGUUCCUGAGCCGGAUUGGGCCGGAGUAUACGAUCUACACGUACACGAUGCUGAAUGCCGGCGUGGACAUCGAAUCGCUCCGAACGCUCGACGAGGAUCAGCUGACGGCAACGUGCGGCAUCACGAACGCCAUCCAUCGGUCACGCAUUCUGCAGGUGAUCAAGAUGAACGAAUCGAUACCUUCCUUCCGCUCGGAACAGAGCACGGAGAAAAGCUUGGACGUGUUUGUUAGCUACCGCCGCAGCAAUGGUUCACAGUUGGCCAGCCUGCUGAAGGUGCAUCUCGAGCUGCGCGGUUUCUCCGUCUUUAUCGAUGUGGAGCGGCUGGAGGCGGGCAAGUUUGACAACAAUCUGCUGCAGAGCAUACGGCAUGCGAGACACUUUCUGCUUGUGCUAACACCGGAGGCUCUCAAUCGCUGUGUGGAUGACGUCGAGUGUAAGGAUUGGGUACACCGGGAAAUCGUGGCAGCUCUCAACUCCGAAUGCAACAUCAUUCCCAUUAUCGACAACUUCCAGUGGCCGGAGCCGGAAAAGUUGCCCGAAGACAUGCGCGGCGUAUGCCAUUUCAAUGGAAUACGCUGGAUCCACGACUAUCAGGAUGCCUGUGUGGACAAAGUGGAAAGGUACAUUAGAAAUACCACUAACCAUAACAAUCGCUCAAACUCCGUGCAUAGAAAUAGCUAAGCUGUACUAAAACGCUACAACUACGGUGCUGAUGCAGCUGGUGCAAUAGCAGGAGCGUGUGUGUUUCGUGUGCUUGACCCCGUGGUUGUACCAAAGACAGUCCGGUGUAUGUAGGGGUGGGCUUUUCUUUUGUGUGCUCAUGUUUAGAGGAUGAGAUAAGCAAUCAUCGUCCAGAAAUGCAUCUCAACUGCUCAGCAAAGGAUGGAAGGAUCAAACUGAGCCUGAGUUGCUUGCACAUGCUUCUCACCCUGCAUUGAUCUCAGUUCGCCCGCCGGUGAAGACGCAAUCUCAGCUCCGUGCAGUUGUCGUAUGUGGGGAAUUUGUGUAUGUGUGUGCGUGAUGGUGGUGGUGGUGGCAAUGUAAAAUAGGCAGAGCUUUGCCACACUGGGAACUUCAAACUUCAAUUCUGCUUGUCUGCGAAGAGAUAUACGCGUACUGCUGCUGUGCUUGUGGUGUGUUGUUCGAACAUCGGUUCGAGCUGUGUUUUUGUCUGUGUGCUAACGAACUACACCUGUGUGGUGGGUUGGACUGAAUGUGCAUGUGCGUGGGAGGGACGGGAGAGGGGAAUGGGGAAUGCAAGCUGGCUAAAAGGACAUCCGUAAGCAUCAAACCGCGGAGGUUCAUGCGAGCAGAAACAAACGGUCGCGGAGGUAUGAUGGACCACGGGAGCCGGCUGCACAGUCGCCAGCCAGGCGAUGCAACACCCUCGUCCGCCAUCUACCAGCGCAUGCACAGCAACGAUUCGGGCAAGAGC